GACGAACGCUGGCGGCGUGCCUAAUACAUGCAAGUCGAACGGUCUUUUCUAUGGAAGCUUGCUUCCACUGAGAAGAUAGUGGCGAACGGGUGAGUAACACGUGGGUAACCUGCCCAUAAGAGGGGGAUAACAUCCGGAAACGGGUGCUAAUACCGCAUAGUUUUCUUGAUCGCAUGAUUGAGAAAGGAAAGACGGCCUUUGUGCUGUCGCUUAUGGAUGGACCCGCGGCGUAUUAGUUAGUUGGUGAGGUAACGGCUCACCAAGACGAUGAUACGUAGCCGACCUGAGAGGGUGAUCGGCCACAUUGGGACUGAGACACGGCCCAGACUCCUACGGGAAGCAGCAGUAGGGAAUCUCCCGCAAUGGACGAAAGUCUGACGGAGCAACGCCGCGUGAGUGAAGAAGGUUUUCGGAUCGUAAAACUCUGUUGUCAGAGAAGAACAAGUUGGAGAGUAACUGCUCCAGCCUUGACGGUAUCUGACCAGAAAGCCACGGCUAACUACGUGCCAGCCGCCGCAGUAAGAC
rnacentral:rRNA from 1 species